UAACUUUGAGAUUAGAAGGAAGAGAGAGCCGCGCUAUUCCUCGGGGUCCUGCAUUUAGUGGUAAGCCAAUUCCCCCAGACAUCUUCCUGCUGACAGUGAAGUCCAAACACGAAAGUGAAGCAGCAAGCAGCCCAUGACAAAUAUGUGCACUGCCAGCUAAUGAAUAUUGGAGAACAUGACACGUUGGAGAGCCCAGUGGGUCUUGAAAGUCUGAGUUCCAGCAAAUUCUCAUGUCUGCAUCGACUGCAGCAAGGUCAAAAGUUGGAAAGCAGGGAUAUUCGAUGCCACUGCUACUCCUUCACUUGCUCAUUCUGCAAAAGUUUGUAGAUCUUCUGCAAGGAGAACGGCAUUGUUAACUACCUACAGGAAGUGGUGUUGAUUUCCAAGAAAGAUCUUGUUCUUCAAACUCUGUUACAGCGUCUUCUCUGGAGAAGUCAACAGUGAGAUGGGCUAAAUGAAGAAGGAGCAGCUUAUUGUCUUUGUUGGUUUUCUUUAUUUUCCUUCGAAGCAUCUGGGGGAAGAGGAAGACAAUGGAUGAGAUGGCGUAUGUUCUUUCCGCCCUGUGAAUGAAUCAGAUUUGAACUCCUAAGCAAAAUAGAAAAUGCAGAAAUGGUGCUCAGGCAAAACCUGAGAGACACCGGGCUCAAGCGACUCUCCUCUGAAGUCCAUCUGAUAAAGUCUGAAUUAUGGAUAAGUCCUUUCCCCCUCAAUAGUCUACUGCUUACUAAAGUGUAGCUCAAUGACUCUGUGGGCUUGGGUAAUCAGCAGGUAAGCAUAGCUAUGCCCAAUGAAGCAGGGGCUGUGAGAAGAAGCCUUGAAGAGUACCUAAAGUAGAAAAUAAGUGAACUUUCUCCUAAGCCCAUAGGAAACAUCACUAUCCUGCUGAAGGCAGGGCAGAGGGAACACAGCAGAGUAGGCUCAGAAUAACUGGGAUUUGGGCACUGAUAUUAAUGUCACCAUAUCUACACUUAUUGAUUGUUGAGAUUAUACAUUUGGCUUGAAACCACAGGAACUAAUAUACUCUAAAUAUAAGCUGAGAAAAAUUAAAAAUAACCACAACUACAACAGUAGAAAGAGAAAAUAUAUGAAUGCCAAGAAUCUAAUGUGUAAAUUAACUACAAGGGUUUAGAAGUUUUGGGCAUCUCCCUGGGGAUUAGCUGUGCUCAGUCUCCCCUCCAGGAAAUCAUUUACAACUCUAUGUCUGUUACCCCAAAAUGACUUAAAUGAAGUUUAGGAUAAGACAGAGACAAGUUCAGAACAAGACAUGGGUGAGGUUCAGAAGAAUGAAAUUGAAAUUAUAUGAAUUUCCAAUUGUUAGAGAUGCAUGAGUGAGAUACAGGUUUUCAAGUGUUGUGAUGUCAUACCAUAAAAUGAUUAUAAACAUUUAGGAAACAAUCUCUCCUGUGGAAUCAGGA
ensembl:lncRNA novel transcript